rnacentral:rRNA from 1 species
CCUACGGUGGGCUGCAGUAAGGAAUAUUGGUCAAUGGACGCAAGUCUGAACCAGCCAUGCCGCGUGGAGGAUGAAGGUCCUCUGGAUUGUAAACUUCUUUUAUUUGGGAAGAAACUCCCGAUUUCCAUCGGGAUUGACGGUACCAGAUGAAUAAGCACCGGCUAACUCCGUGCCAGCAGCCGCGGUAAUACGGAGGGUGCAAGCGUUAUCCGGAUUAACGGGGUCGUAGGGGUGCAGAGAAGUCAGUGUAGAAAUCUACGGGCUUAACCCGGAAACGGCCAUUGAUACUAUUUGUCUUGAAUACUCUGGAGGUGAGCGGAAUAUGUCAUGUAGCGGUGAAAUGCUUAGAGAUGACAUAGAACACCCAUUGCGAAGGCAGCUCACUACGGAAAUAUUGACGCUGAGGCACGAAAGCGAGGGGAUCAAACAGGAUUAGAUACCCGUGUAGUC